rnacentral:misc_RNA from 1 species
GGCACCAGGAGCUAUGCCCCCGGGCGAUGGCUCUGUUCCUCCAGGAAAAUCAAUGACAAUUGGGCAGCAUGUUAUAGACAAAGGCGCUCAAUUGAUGCAGUCUUUGAAACCCAUCAAGCAGAUGAGCCAACAUGUUUGCACUUUCGCUAUGUACAGCCACGAUAUCACUCGACAGAUCGAGACGCAUCACUAUGUGAGUCGAGUCAAUCAGGAUUUCCUCCAGUGUGCUGUUUACGAUUCUGAUGAUUCUAAAGGACGUCUUAUUGGAAUAGAAUAUAUAAUAUCAGAUCGAAUCUUUGAAACUCUUCCAGCAGAAGAACAGAAGCUAUGGCACAGUCAUGAGUACGAGAUUAUAGCAGGACUUUGGGUGAACCCAAAAGUUCCAGAGAUGGUCCAAAAGCAAGAACUUAAGAAUCUUGCUCCAACUUAUGGCAAGUUUUGGUGCACCUGGCAACUUGAUCGAGGUGAUAGGCUUCCACUUGGAGCACCUGCAUUGAUGAUGUCUCCACAAGGUGUAAAUUUGGGCAUGGUGGCACCGGAGCUCGUGAAGAAGAGGGAUGAAAAAUAUGGCAUUUCUUCAAAGGAUUUGGAAAAGACGAGGGCGGAUAUUGCAGGGCCAAAGACGACUAUGAAUCCUUAUGCAAACUACUGGAUGCAAACUGGCAAAGGCUUUGCCAUUGAUGUGGAACUCACCGAUAUGAAAAAGACUGCACCUUUUCCAUGAGAAAUAUGAUCAAUCAAUUAGUAUAAUGAUC